rnacentral:rRNA from 1 species
CGCAUUAUGGUAUGACUGAGACUGAGUUGGGCAAGAGCAAGCGGUUGGAUUGGCCUGACUCUUCAAGACCAAUGAUACUCGGCUUCCUCUUCAUCAAGUCACGAAAUUCGAUCCUUAGUUAGCAGCAUCAAAACUAGAGCAGGCCCAAGACAAGCAAGAACAGUCAGUUGUUUAGCGGCCAAAGACAAGCAAGAACAGUCAGUUGUUUAG